rnacentral:rRNA from 1 species
GACGAACGCUGGCGGCGUGCCUAAUACAUGCAAGUAGAACGCUGAAGAGAGGAGCUUACUCUUCUUGGAUGAGUUGCGAACGGGUGAGUAACGCGUAGGUAACCUGCCUUGUAGCGGGGGAUAACUAUUGGAAACGAUAGCUAAUACCGCAUAACAAUGGAUGACACAUGUCAUUUAUUUGAAAGGGGCAAUUGCUCCACUACAAGAUGGACCUGCGUUGUAUUAGCUAGUAGGUGAGGUAAUGGCUCACCUAGGGGACGAUACAUAGCCGGCCUGAGAGGGUGGUCGGCCCCACUGGGACUGGGACCAGGCCCAGACUCCUACGGGAGGCAGCCGUAGGGAAUCUUCGGCCAUGGGGGCAAAGCUGACCGAACAACGCCGGGGUAGUGGAGAAGGUUUUCGGGUCGUAAAACUCUGUUGUUAGGGAAGAACGGGUGUGAGGGUGGAAAGUUCACACUGUGACGGUAGCUUACCAGAAAGGGACGGCUAACUACGUG